rnacentral:rRNA from 1 species
UACGUAGGGACCAAGCGUUGUUCGGAUUUACUGGGCGUAAAGGGCGCGUAGGCGGGCAAGCAAGUCAGGGGUGAAAGCCCACGGCUCAACCGUGGAAGUGCCUUUGAUACUGCUGGUCUGGAGGGAGGUAGGGGCGUGCGGAACUUCCGGUGGAGCGGUGAAAUGCGUAGAUAUCGGAAGGAACACCGGUGGCGAAAGCGGCGCGCUGGACCUCUUCUGACGCUGAGGCGCGAAAGCCAGGGGAGCAAACGGG